GAUGAACGCUGGCGGCGUGCUUAACACAUGCAAGUCGAACGGAAAGGCCCAAGCUUGCUUGGGUACUCGAGUGGCGAACGGGUGAGUAACACGUGGGUGAUCUGCCCUGCACUUCGGGAUAAGCCUGGGAAACUGGGUCUAAUACCGGAUAGGACCACUUCGUAGUUGUUGUGGUGGAAAGUUUUUUCGGUGUGGGAUGAGCUCGCGGCCUAUCAGCUUGUUGGUGGGGUAAUGGCCUACCAAGGCGUCGACGGGUAGCCGGCCUGAGAGGGUGUACGGCCACAUUGGGACUGAGAUACGGCCCAGACUCCUACGGGAGGCAGCAGUGGGGAAUAUUGCACAAUGGGCGGAAGCCUGAUGCAGCGACGCCGCGUGGGGGAUGACGGCCUUCGGGUUGUAAACUCCUUUCGCCAAAGACGAAUCUAGGACGGUAUUUGGAGAAGAAGCACCGGCUAACUACGUG
rnacentral:rRNA from 1 species